GCAGAUUAAAUAACACUUACUUAUCUAUCAUAGCUUAUAAUAUAAUCAACUAUGCAUAAAUAAAAUCUCCAUCUUAAUGACAUUUAAAAACUAUAUGCAUAGGCACCAAAAUGGAUUAAAACAAAGUAAGCCAUUUUCGCAUGGCUCAUAUUCACAUAUCCCAAAAUUUAAACAUAUUAACUAGACUAUACAUGCCAUAGGUUCGAAUUCAAAAUUUAUAAAAUACCAAAGAUGGUCGAUAGUGUGAUAGACUAUGCUGACGAUUCCCGAGCUCGUAACGCGACUUCAAAAUCUAUAAAAUAGAGGUAAACAAAUACAACACACAUUAAGCUAUUAAAGCUUAGCAAGUCAUGAGCAAAAAUUUAAAUAUAUGUAUAUAUAUACUUAUACUUAUUCCAUCAUUAAGUUAAAAUAAACUAACAUCAUUUAUAUAUUUAUAUAUGUAUAUCAAAUGCAUAUAAUCACUUAAUUUAGCAUAUUCGGAUCACCGGUACUUAGCCUGCUAGGUUUAUAACCUGAUUAAUAUCACCGGUACUUAGCCUGCUAGGCUUAUAGCCUGAUUCAGAUCACCGGCACUUAGCCUGCUAGGUUUAUAACCUGAUUCAUAUCAUCGACACUUAGCCUGCUAGGCUUAUAGCCUGAUUCAGAUCACCGGCACUUAGCCUGCUAGGUGUAUAACCUGAUUCAAUUCACCAAUUCUAAACUUGAUAAUUCAAUGAUUCAACCGAAUACAUUUAUAUAUAUAUUUGAGUCUAUCAUAUACAUAUAUAAUUACGUACUUAUAAUCAAAGCAUGAAUUUAUACUUGUAUACUCAUACAUAUUCGAGUCUAAUAUAUACAUCCCUAAUUUCAUACUCUAAUCCAUAUAAGGUAUCAUACAUGUGUAUACAAGCUUGUUCGAUCCACAUAUAUAUAUAUAAAUAUAAUUUUAUAUAUAAUACCUUUGAUUAAAAAAAAAACCAAAAAUUGUACAUGUAUAUACCUUAAUAUAUAUUUGAAUCUUUUAUAAACUUAUUUAACAUUCAUACUUUAAUUAAGAUCAAGAAUUUAAAUAUUUAUAUUACACACAUAUAUAUUCGCACAUUAUAUAAACACAACCAUAACAUUUGAACUUUUAAUUGAAUCCAAAAAUUUACACUUUUAUAUACAUACCUAUUCGAACAUCACAUAUAUAUAUGUAUAAAAUUCACACAUCAACUAACAUCAAUUUUAUACUUGUAGUUAUAGCUCAUUAAUUAUAAAAUAAAUAUUCUUAUAUAUAUAUUGAUUCGAUAACAUAAAUUUUACUAACAGACUUACCUCGGAUAUCAGCGAACACGAUCGACUAUUCUAUUACUUUCGUUUUCCCCCGAUCCAAAUUUGUUUUCUUCGUUUCUUGAUCUAAACAUAAUCAAAUUUAAUCUUUUUUAUUCAUCAAAAAAUUCAAUUAAUUCAAAAAAUACAUAAAUGGGCAAAUUACUAUUUUGCCCCUUAUAUUUUGCACUUUUUGCAAUUUAAUCCUUUUUGCAUAAAACACAAAAUACACAAAAUUUGUGCAUACCAUAUCUAGGCCGAAUCUUCCUAUAGUUCAUCUAAGUUCACACAUUUAUUUAUUUCACAUUCUAGUCCCUAAAAAUAUUAUUUUUGCAAUUUAGCCCUAAUUACUCAAUUUCACCAAAAAUUCCAAUACAAAAUAUAUUAAUCUAAAACAUAUCUUUCAUUAUUCAUUAUCAACAUCACAAAACACAAUUAUUCAUCAAUGGCAUAGCUCAAAAUAUUCAUCAAAAUCAAAAAUUCAAGCAUGGGUCAAAUAGUAUUCGAAGCAACGAUCUCAAAAACAUAAAAAUCAUCAAAAACCGAACAAAAUUCAUACCUUAAUCAAAGCUUGAAAGUGCCGAAUGAAACAAAGUUUUAAACCCUUUUUUUUUCUCUCCAAUUCGGC
rnacentral:lncRNA from 1 species